CAUCUCCUCGUUAUCUAAUCUCGGUACACAGACGGAAUGUCCUUGCCGCGAGAUCGUGAGAAUCUCGUUCUGCCCCAGCAAACGAACUGCAUCGGCCGAAACGAAUUUCUCAUUUGCACCGGCCGGAUUGACACAGUAUGCCGAACAAUAAUCGAUUCAGCAGACUCAUUUAAGGUAAACUCAGCCUGCGGAUCAACCCGAUACGUGAUUUCGAUACGGUUCGCCCUGAGUUCGGUCCGGGCAAAUGUACACAGACGGAUUAUUAUGAAAUUAUACGUGGAUCAAGUGUCGGUCGAUGGUGCGCGAUGAAUUCGAAGAACGGCCCGAUAGAUAAUUUCAACGUCAGCAAUUCUCUCUUUGGUGGCAGACGCCGGCUGUGUGAUGUUUCGCCCAUCCAAUAAUUGAAGCGAGUAUGAUCUCGAAAUUCGCCUUCGAAAUUCUGUUGAUCUACGAGCAUAUCCAGCGAACUUUAACGAAAAUUUAAAUAUUAUGCGAUGGAAUUCUACCAAAUCGAUUUGCGUUAACAGAUAUUGCACAGAUGGUUUGAUUAUGCUCGCGUCCCGCUAAUUUGACUGCAGGCAACCCGGGAAACUGUAUUCACAUUAACUGCUUUGGAGUGCAGUGAUGCUGCGUGACAUCAUAUCCUGUCUCUAAGCACAAUCAAAUUAUCACUGCACAUGUGACAAAACAGUCGAUGUUCUUUCGUCGCGACAAAACGACUAUUCCUGUUGGCCACUCUCUACUCCGUGUCUCAACAAGUUAACUACUUAAUUAAACUAGCAGCUCAAUGGCGGACAACUCAAAAGGUUUAGAAUUAGCGGCCCUGAGAGCCGAGCUAGAUAUAUUAAAGAACAUAAUAGCUCGGUUCUCAAGUUCUCGCAGCCGCCCAUGUCGGGACUAGCAGCGACAUAACCACCCGCGUCGGGAUCAGCAGCGACGCAGUCGCCCGCGCCGGAACUAGCGAUGUAGGCUGUCGCUCCACAAGAAAAACCCAGAUAUUGGCAAAGAAGUCGAUAAAAUCCUAACAGCUGUGGGUACCGCAGAUAUGGGGAAGGCGGACGAUGCGAAGAUCGCGAAAAACGAAGAUGUCA